GUACGUAAGUUCCUCUAUAUUGUGUACAAUGCCAAGCGUGCUCAAUAAGUAACCAAGCAAUACAUAACAAAACAAUCAGACUUGCUUUCUUCCAGCGUCAGCUGAAAUGAUAAUCUCCCCCCCCCCACAGUUUUUUAAACAGGUAUACAUCAUUUUCACGAGUCAUCCACACCACAUAAGCAAAAAUAAGUUUUAACAAGCACCCAGUUGAAUGUAUAAAAUAGUCACUGGAGGAGAUUGCCCAAGAAUGAUGAUAGACCAGCCUAUAUUAUCAAUGGCAUCCCUAUGGCACUGAGAAAUUGGCCUGAAAAUCACUGGAAAAACAGAUACAAAAUCAUGAUUGUUUUAGUAACCUGCAUUUCCCCCACUCCCCACCCACGUGCUAUGAGCAAUGUGCAGCUAAAUAAAAAUAAACACGUAUGGGCCCAACUCAGGAACAUACUUGAAUCAUAUAAUUACUAUUCGACACUUCUGAAAUUUUUGUUUUCGGGUUUUUUUUUUCUCCCAGUCAAAACAAUUCUCCAAAUCCAACCUGAGUUCACAUAAAUUUGAUGCCCUGAAAAAUGCAUUUUUUGGCAAGUCCACCAUUUGCCAAAACAAAUGUUGCUCAGCUCUACUGACAAGUACAGGCCCAAUAGCAAUUGGUCGAAAGAGCGCCUUGAAGAAAAAAGCACUGAAGACUUUCUUUCAGAGUAGGGAGAGCUGAAAUAAGGCAGAUUUCAUAGGGAAAUGAGUCAACAGCAUCUCCCUCUCGGGGGAUUUACUAGAUUCUUUGACAGUACGAUAGUGUCACGCUCUAGUUGCCACUUCAGGUGUUCAUUGCUGGUCAUGGAAUCAGCUUCUACCACGCCAUCUUGCUGCACGGUCCUUCGGGGCUGAAGAAGAAGGCUGAAUUUCUAAGUGCGAUAUUGGAGUGAGGAAAAAACCAAAACAAAAUGGAAACUGCUCAGAGGGGCUUUAAAAUCCAAAUCUCACCCUCUUUUUUAGCAAGGCCGACAAAUAUUCACCUGUCUCUUGUCUUGACGCAAACUGCAAAACGAAAUGGAGCGGAGUCUGUGAUCAACGGGCUUGGUAUGAACGUAGCCUUCUGCUGAGGAAGCUGAGUGAGUCCAUCUCAUCGCGCAAAGGCUGACGAGAGAAAUUCAGCUGCCAGAACAAAGUGCCUCAUUCAUGCUUCUGACACUGCGAGAGCACCCCCUGCUUCAUGGUCCCCCCUUUAUUCCAGCAGAGGUCCCAGCAGAUGGGUGCAGGGCAGAUUGUGUGACGGUCUACCCCUGAUCUGGAGUUAAAGGGAAGAGCCAGUGCUCAUGGUGGGAAGUGACCUUAAAGAAGUCAGUGUGUCUGUAGCCAUCCCUGCAGCCAACUCUGGUGAGUGAAAUGCUGUUGUCAUGGCAGGGCUCACCAGAUGGUGCUGUUACGCAGUUUUACUAGCGUGUGAGCAAGUUUUUAGUUUUGGAAGAAUGGUGCAUUGUCGGUUCUCUCUUGAAGUUUCUUUGGGGGAGCAGUGGCUGACAGAAAGGGAGUUUUCUUUCUGCCUUCAUGUCUUUCUGACUAGAAUAAAUUCUUGAGGCAGAAUUGUCCCCUGGUAAUUGGGCACUAGGGUUUGGGCUGAAAUCCCUGAAAGUGAGGAGAGGUCUGUGUCUAGUUCGUGAUCGUCAAUUUUUCCAAAUUGGAGUGCAUGUAAAAAUAAAAUAAUUUUCACUGAGAAUAUACCCACACUACACGUUGCUGAUUUCUCCUCUAUCUGCCAGCCAAACUGCAAGGCCCCAGCAUGAUACCACGCUGGCCCAGGGAUGACAUUAUGCUAAUAUCUAGUAUAUUCAAACUGAUGAAAAUAUUAUUUACACUGCAGAUGAGCAGAGCCCUUCUCCCCUGGGGAUACUUGUCUUCCACAAUGACAAACAACAUGAAGGGAAAUAACAUGAAGGAGGAAAAGAGGUUGAACCCGGGGACAUGAAA